rnacentral:rRNA from 1 species
GAUGAACGCUAGCGGGAGGCUUAACACAUGCAAGUCGAGGGGCAGCACUGAUAGCAAUAUUAGGUGGCGACCGGCGGACGGGUGAGUAACGCGUAUGCAACCUACCCUUUACAGGGGGAUAGCCCGGAGAAAUUCGGAUUAAUACCCCAUAGAUCAGUGAUUCUGCAUGGGAUUACUGGUAAAGCUUCGGCGGUAAAGGAUGGGCAUGCGUCCCAUUAGCUAGUUGGUAGGGUAACGGCCUACCAAGGCAACGAUGGGUACGGGGUCUUAAAGGAUGGACCCGCACACUGGCACUGAGACACGGGCCAGACUCCUACGGGAGGCAGCAGUGAGGAAUAUUGGUCAAUGGGGGGAACCCUGAACCAGCCAUCCCGCGUGCAGGAAGACAGUUCUAUGGAUUGUAAACUGCUUUUCUUGGGGAAGAAUAAUGACGACGUGUCGUCAGAUGACGGUACCCGAGGAAUAAGCAUCGGCUAACUCCGUG